UAGUUAUUAGGGUCCAUCAUGACCUAACGUACGGGACAUCUCGGUACUGAUUAGGAUCAUCAGCCAUACUGGAACUGCACCACACUGUCCAUUACUCCUACGGGCAGUGCAGGCGUCGGGGCAAUUAUGCGCAAUGGGCGGAAAGCCUGACGCAGCAAUGCCGCGUGAGUGAUGAAGGCCUUCGGGUCGUAAAGCUCUGUCAGAGGGAAAGAAACUCCCGUCGGUUAAUACCCGGCGGGCCUGACGGUACCCUCAAAGGAAGCACCGGCUAACUCCGUGCCAGCAGCCGCGGUAAUACGGAGGGUGCAAGCGUUGUUCGGAAUUAUUGGGCGUAAAGCGCGUGUAGGCGGUUCGUUAAGUCUGAUGUGAAAGCCCUGGGCUUAACCUGGGAAGUGCAUUGGAAACUGGCGAACUUGAGUAUGGGAGAGGAAAGUGGAAUUCCGAGUGUAGGGGUGAAAUCCGUAGAUAUUCGGAGGAACACCAGUGGCGAAGGCGGCUUUCUGGACCAAUACUGACGCUGAGACGCGAAAGCGUGGGGAGCAAACAGGAUUAGAUACCCUGGUAGUCCACGCCGUAAACGAUGGGCACUAGUGUCGCGGGUAUUGACCCUGCGGUGCCGUACUAACGCAUUAAGUGCCCCGCUGGGGAGUCCGGCGCAAGCUAAAUCAAGGAAUGACGGGGCCGCCAACGGUGGAGAUUGGUUAUUCACCAGCAAAACUACUGGUUGAAUCGAUCUAUCAUG
rnacentral:rRNA from 1 species